CGAGGAUUGACAGAUUGAUAGCUCUUUCUUGAUUCUAUGGUAUUUUGGUGGUGCAUGGCCGUUCUUAGUUCGUGGAGUGAUUCGUCUGGUUAAUUCCGUUAAACGAACGAGACCUCAGCCUGACUAAAUAGUUGCUCGCCUUUUUUAUAAGACUUGACAACUUCUUAGAGGGACUUUGUGUGCAACCACAAGGAAGUUUGAGGCAAUAACAGGUCUGUGAUGCCCUUAGAUGUCCUGGGCCGCACGCGUGCUACACUGAUACGUACAACGAGGUAUAUGUACUUGUACAUCAAUGCUGCUCCGAAAUAGACGAGCUUAAUCUUAUAAAUACGUAUCGUGCUGCGGAUAGAUCGUUGAAAUUAUGAAUCUUGAAGGUGGAAUUCCUAGUAAGCGCACGUCACUAACGUGCGUUGAUUACGUCCCUGCCCUUUGUACACACC
rnacentral:rRNA from 1 species